GCCUGCGUAGCUCAGGGGUUAAGAGCAGCGAUCUUAUAAAUCGCAUGUCGCAGGUUCGAAUCCUGUCGCAGGCA
rnacentral:tRNA from 1 species